rnacentral:lncRNA from 1 species
GAGAUGCAGUGGAGUUCUAAAAAUUGUGAGAUAAGAAUUUUUUCCUUUCUAAAAUUAUGGUUGGAGGUGUUCUAAUUUUUAGAAUUCCUCCUAAAACUAUGGUUGGAGUGAGAAUAUUUUUUUUUAAACUAUAGUUGGAAGUGUUCUAAUCUCUCCUAAUUUUUUUUUUUAAUGUUUAGAAUCCCUCCUAAAACUAUGGUUGGAGCCUGGAGGUGUUCUAUAUUUGUUACAUUUAGAAAAGAGGUGGUCCCCAAUUGUCUGAAUAGACCAAAAUCCACCUACAUACUCGCUAGGGCUAGAAUUAUUAUCUAAGAUCCAGACUCAAUUUGAGAUCCGAUCCAAAUCCGUUCAUGAGAGGUCAUAUCCGAAUAGUAAAAUGUUGGAUCCGUCAAAACUGAAUUUGGAUUCGGAUAUUUUAAUUUUUUAAUCUAGAUAUCGGGAUCCAUAUUCUUAUUGAUAAUUAUUUCAAAAAUAGUAAUAUUUAUAUAUAAAUAUUAAUUGUAUUUAU